rnacentral:lncRNA from 1 species
AGAUCUCCACCUGAUGCCUCCCCGAAAGGCAUCCACCAGAUGAUCUACAGCCUCCGUGGUCAGAUCUCAGCGAGAUCCGCAAGCUCCGGCCUCGUCUCCAGUUUUCCAAGCUCUUCCUCCUCCGACAACGACGGUCAGCAUGGAGCAGUUCGACCUACUGGUUAAGCAAGUCAGGGGCCUCACUGAAGCAGUGCAGGUGAUGCAGCAGCAGCA